AAGUCGUAACAAGGUUUCCGUAGGUGAACCUGCGGAAGGAUCAUUACCAAAUCCAAAACUUUAUCAACACCAAACAAGUGAACUGAGAAUGGUUUCGUUCCCCUCUGCAUGUGCAUACAAUGUGUUUCCACAUUCGUGCGUGUGCGAAGGGGGAUGUUUUUUUUUUCAACCCCUUUUCAACCUCUUACAAUCUUUUAUGCUGAAAGCAAAAAAAACGAAACAUGAGACAACUUUUAACAACGGAUCUCUUGGUUCUG
rnacentral:misc_RNA from 1 species